GACGAACGCUGGCGGCGUGCCUAAUACAUGCAAGUAGAACGCUGAAGAGAGGAGCUUGCUCUUCUUGGAUGAGUUGCGAACGGGUGAGUAACGCGUAGGUAACCUGCCUGGUAGCGGGGGAUAACUAUUGGAAACGAUAGCUAAUACCGCAUAAAAUUGAUUAUUGCAUGAUAAUUAAUUGAAAGAUGCAACUGCAUCACUACCAGAUGGACCUGCGUUGUAUUAGCUAGUUGGUGAGGUAACGGCUCACCAAGGCGACGAUACAUAGCCGACCUGAGAGGGUGAUCGGCCACACUGGGACUGAGACACGGCCCAGACUCCUACGGGAGGCAGCAGUAGGGAAUCUUCGGCAAUGGGGGGAACCCUGACCGAGCAACGCCGCGUGAGUGAAGAAGGUUUUCGGAUCGUAAAGCUCUGUUGUAAGAGAAGAACGGGUGUGAGAGUGGAAAGUUCACACUGUGACGGUAUCUUACCAGAAAGGGACGGCUAACUACGUGCCAGCAGCCGCGGUAAUACGUAGGUCCCGAGCGUUGUCCGGAUUUAUUGGGCGUAAAGCGAGCGCAGGCGGUUAGAUAAGUCUGAAGUUAAAGGCUGUGGCUUAACCAUAGUAUGCUUUGGAAACUGUUUAACUUGAAUGCCAAAAGGGAGAGUGGAAUUCCGUGUGUAGCGGUGAAAUGCGUAAAUAUAGGGAGAAACCCCGGGGGCGAAAGCGGCUCUCUGGUCUGUACCGGACCCUGAGGCUCCAAAGCGGGGGGGAGCAAAAAGGAUUAGAUCCCCUGGUAGUCCACGCCGUAAACGAUGAGUGCUAGGUGUUAGGCCCUUUCCGGGGCUUAGUGCCGCAGCUAACGCAUUAAGCACUCCGCCUGGGGAGUACGACCGCAAGGUUGAAACUCAAAGGAAUUGACGGGGGCCCGCACAAGCGGUGGAGCAUGUGGUUUAAUUCGAAGCAACGCGAAGAACCUUACCAGGUCUUGACAUCCCUCUGACCGCUCUAGAGAUAGAGUUUUCCUUCGGGACAGAGGUGACAGGUGGUGCAUGGUUGUCGUCAGCUCGUGUCGUGAGAUGUUGGGUUAAGUCCCGCAACGAGCGCAACCCCUAUUGUUAGUUGCCAUCAUUGAGUUGGGCACUCUAGCGAGACUGCCGGUAAUAAACCGGAGGAAGGUGGGGAUGACGUCAAAUCAUCAUGCCCCUUAUGGCCUGGGCUACACACGUGCUACAAUGGCUGGUACAACGAGUCGCAAGCCGGUGACGGCAAGCUAAUCUCUGAAAGCCAGUCUCAGUUCGGAUUGUAGGCUGCAACUCGCCUACAUGAAGUCGGAAUCGCUAGUAAUCGCGGAUCAGCACGCCGCGGUGAAUACGUUCCCGGGCCU
rnacentral:rRNA from 1 species